AAGUGGUUUCAAGUCAUUUGGAGAUGUAAUGAAGGAGUUAUGAUCAAUUUACUAGAGGCAUAUCCAUCCUGGUCGAGUAUCGCAGAGUGACCUUCCAGAGCGACACCAUAAGGUAGCUCCCAACCCAGAGCGACCUUCCAGAGCUACACCCCUACGUCACUCGCCUUUUCAUCACUUUGGAGGCCAAAACAUAGGCCUGGAGGGACCUUCCAGAGCGACACCAUAAGGUAGCUCCCAACCCAGAGCUACGUCUCGGAGCUACACCACGAAGUCCCUCCGCGUGUUUUGCUUGGACGAAACUUAUGAUUUUUCAGGGACCUUUUGGUCAUUUGUUUUGAUGUUUUACACUUUCUAAACCUAAGUUAAGUUUUUUGUAAGCCAUGGGAGGCAAAGAUAAUCUCUUUUCUAGA